CGCUGAGUCACCGGGCAGCGGAGCAGCAGCCGCGGUUUGCACACUGCAGAGUGGGAAAGGCUCAGGACAGACCGGAUGGGAUCGAGCCAGGACUGAUUUGUCGUUCCGUCUGUGAACUGGACUCGCGCAGUUGCCAACCACCUGCAGUGGAAAUCUGGGUCAGAGUUCUCAGCAGUGCUGCAUCACACCUGGAUUUGCUCGUUCUGAUGUUCUACUUCCUGAAUUCCUAUUUAACAUUUGCUGCCUCUUGCGCCUCAUGCGUGACUGACACCGGGAGUGACUAAGGGACCA